rnacentral:rRNA from 1 species
CUCGGAGUUUGAUCCUGGCUCAGGAUGAACGCUAGCGGCAGGCUUAACACAUGCAAGUCGAGGGGUAGAAGCAGCUUGCUGCUUUGAGACCGGCGCACGGGUGCGUAACGCGUAUACAAUCUACCUUUUACAGAGGGAUAGCCCAGAGAAAUUUGGAUUAAUACCUCAUAGUAUGUGAGAAUCGCAUGGUUUUCACAUUAAAGUCACAACGGUAAAGAUGAGCAUGCGUCCCAUUAGCUAGAUGGUAAGGUAACGGCUCACCAAGGCUACGAUUGGUAGGGGUUCUGAGAGGAUGAUCCCCGACACUGGUACUGAGACACGGACCAGACUCCUACGGGGAGGCAGCAGUGAGGAAUAUUGCGCAAUGGACGCAAGUCUGAACCAGCCAUGCCGCGUGCAGGAAGACGGCCCUAUGGGGUUGUAAACCUGCUUUUGUCGGGGGUAAGAAACCCCGAUCUACGUGUAGAUGGCUGACGGUACUCGAAG